rnacentral:rRNA from 1 species
AGAGUUUGAUCCUGGCUNNGNNNNNNNGCUGGCGGUAUGCUUAACACAUGCAAGUCGAACGGCNNCACGUUGCUUCUUUUCGGAGAGGUAAUGGUGGCGAGUGGUGGACGGGUGAGUAACGCGUAGGAAUCUACCCUAAAGUGGGGGAUAACCCGGGGAAACUCGGGCUAAUACCGCAUAAUCUCUACGGAGCAAAGCUGGGGACCAAAGUUUACUUUGGCCUGGCGCUAUAGGAUGAGCCUGCGUCGGAUUAGCUAGUUGGUGGGGUAAUGGCCCACCAAGGUGACGAUCCGUAGCUGGUCUGAGAGGAUGAUCAGCCACACUGGGACUGAGACACGGCCCAGACUCCUACGGGAGGCAGCAGUGGGGAAUAUUGGACAGUGGGCGCAAGCCUGAUCCAGCAAUACCGCGUGUGUGAAGAAGGCCUUCGGGUUGUAAAGCACUUUCAGUAGCUAAGAAAUACUCAAGGCUAAUAUCCUUGAGAGUUGACGUAAACUACAGAAGAAGCACCGGCUAACUCUGUGCCAGCAGCCGCGGUAAUAC